rnacentral:rRNA from 1 species
UACGUAGGGUGCAAGCGUUGUCCGGAAUUAUUGGGCGUAAAGAGCUCGUAGGCGGUCUGUUGCGUCGGCUGUGAAAACCCGAGGCUCAACCUCGGGCCUGCAGCCGAUACGGGCAGACUAGAGUUCGGCAGGGGAGACUGGAAUUCCUGGUGUAGCGGUGAAAUGCGCAGAUAUCAGGAGGAACACCGGUGGCGAAGGCGGCAUCCUGGACCAAUACUGACGCUGAGGCGCGAAAGCGUGGGGAGCAAACAGG